rnacentral:lncRNA from 1 species
AAGAACCUACCUUUUGUUACGAUGAUAAAUUGUUUGUUCUCUUCCUGUAUAUACAUGAAAAAUUUGUUACUAGAUUUUAAGCAAGCAACACUCACUAAUUGAUCAUGUUUUGUUACAUAGAUAUAAAUAGCUGCAAGUAAACAUAAAAUUGAGAAUGGAAAUGGGGAAUGUGUCAAAGAGACUACAACCUGACCUAAGAGAAGAAAACAGCCAAAGACAACCAAUGAUAACUAUUAUGAUGGCAAGACUACUCCUUACAUAUCAGUUGUUAGCCUACUA